UACGGAGGGUGCAAGCGUUGCUCGGAAUCACUGGGCGUAAAGCGCCCGCAGGCGGUCUGACAAGUCGGCUGUGAAAGCCCUGGGCUCAACUCAGGAAUUGCAUUCGAAACUGGCAGACUCGAGUACGGGAGAGGGGGGUGGAAUUCCUGGUGUAGGGGUGAAAUUCGUUGAUAUCAGGAGGAACACCGGCGGCGAAGGCGGCCCCCUGGCCCGCAACUGACGCUCAUGGUCGAAAGCGUGGGGAGCAAACAGG
rnacentral:rRNA from 1 species